rnacentral:tRNA from 1 species
GGGGUUGUGGCUCAGUUGGUAGAGCGCUUGCCUCGCAUGUGUGAGGCACUGGGUUUGAUUCUCAGCACCA